UACUUUCCUAGACCGGCGCACGGGUGAGUAACGCGUAUGCAACCUGCCCUUUACAGGGGGAUAGCCCGGAGAAAUCCGGAUUAAUACCCCAUAGAUCUGUAUUCUCGCAUGGGGAAACAGGUAAAGCUUUGGCGGUAAAGGAUGGGCAUGCGUGGCAUUAGCUAGUUGGCGGGGUAACGGCCCACCAAGGCUGCGAUGCCUAGGGGUUCUGAGAGGAAGAUCCCCCACACUGGUACUGAGACACGGACCAGACUCCUACGGGAGGCAGCAGUGAGGAAUAUUGGUCAAUGGGCGAGAGCCUGAACCAGCCAUCCCGCGUGCAGGAAGAAGGCCCUAUGGGUUGUAAACUGCUUUUGUGCAUGAAGAAAAGUAUCCUCGUGAGGGUAUUUGACGGUAAUGCGUGAAUAAGCACCGGCUAACUCCGUGCCAGCAGCCGCGGUAAUACGGAGGGUGCAAGCGUUAUCCGGAUUUAUUGGGUUUAAAGGGUGCGUAGGCGGCAAAUUAAGUCAGUGGUGAAAUCCUGCAGCUUAACUG
rnacentral:rRNA from 1 species